GCUGCACUGUGGUUCCCCGGCAGGCCAAGAACUGAUAGACAUAGCUGCGAGGAACACCCCCUACUUCGCCGAGAGCUUCGGAUGCGAGAAAGGCAGCAAAAUGAGCAAGCUGGAUCCCUGCUUUCUCUGGAAUACAACUCGGAGACACUACUGAGCUUACUACAUUUGAAAAUAAAACCUAUCUUUUUCUACAUUA